rnacentral:rRNA from 1 species
AUUGAACGCUGGCGGCAGGCUUAACACAUGCAAGUCGAGCGGGGGAAGGUAGCUUGCUACCGGACCUAGCGGCGGACGGGUGAGUAAUGCUUAGGAAUCUGCCUAUUAGUGGGGGACAACAUCUCGAAAGGGAAGCUAAUACCGCAUACGUCCUACGGGAGAAAGCAGGGGAUCUUCGGACCUUGCGCUAAUAGAUGAGCCUAAGUCGGAUUAGCUAGUUGGUGGGGUAAAGGCCUACCAAGGCGACGAUCUGUAGCGGGUCUGAGAGGAUGAUCCGCCACACUGGGACUGAGACACGGCCCAGGCUCCUACGGGAGGCAGCAGUGGGGAAUAUUGGACAAUGGGGGGAACCCUGAUCCAGCCAUGCCGCGUGUGUGAAGAAGGCCUUAUGGUUGUAAAGCACUUUAAGCGAGGAGGAGGCUACUUUAGUUAAUACCUAGAGAUAGUGGACGUUACUCGCAGAAUAAGCACCGGCUAACUCUGUGCCAGCAGCCGCGGUAA